rnacentral:rRNA from 1 species
CCGGGGCAUCCCGGAGGCAGGAAAGGCUUCGGCCGGACAGGGAUGGGCAUGCGGCGCAUUAGGCAGUAGGCGGGGUAACGGCCCACCUAACCGACGAUGCGUAGGGGUUCUGAGAGGAAGGUCCCCCACACUGGUACUGAGACACGGACCAGACUCCUACGGGAGGCAGCAGUGAGGAAUAUUGGUCAAUGGUCGGGAGACUGAACCAGCCAAGCCGCGUGAGGGAUGAAGGUACAGAGUAUCGUAAACCUCUUUUGUCAGGGAACAAAGGCGGGGACGUGUCCCCGGAUGAGUGUACCUGAAGAAAAAGCAUCGGCUAACUCCGUGCCAGCAGCCGCGGUAAUACGGAGGAUGCGAGCGUUAUCCGGAUUUAUUGGGUUUAAAGGGUGCGCAGGCGGUCUGUUAAGUCAGCGGUCAAAGCCCGGGGCUCAACCCCGGCCCGCCGUUGAAACUGGCAGUCUCGAGUUGGAGAGAAGUAUGCGGAAUGCGCGGUGUAGCGGUGAAAUGCAUAGAUAUCGCGCAGAACUCCGAUUGCGAAGGCAGCAUGCCGGCUCCACACUGACGCUGAGGCACGAAAGCGUGGGUAUCGAACAGGAUUAGAUACCCUGGUAGUCCACGCAGUAAACGAUGCAUACAGGGUGUCCGGG